UCGGUUUAGGGUGGCAGCUCAGAGGCAAGGCAGCUGGGAGGGGCAGGAAGAGGACAGACAGGAUGCCCCGCAAACUAGUCUUCUCCAGCCUCCUGCCACAGGCCCUGGCCUCCCCAGGCAGCUCCCCGAGCGGCAGGCAAGCCUUGAAGAAAGGUGGUGAGCGUCUGGGAAGGAGGCCUCUGUGAGUUAGUGGAUUUACGAAUGAAGAAGAGAAAGAGAAUCCCUUGGAUUGGAAAAACGUAACCAGAUUGUUCCUACCUGCAUGGACCAUGUGGAUAACUGAAGUAAAGUGUGAGAGCAGGGAUGCGGCCUGGAGGAAGAUUAGCCCUGAGCUAACACCUGCUGCCAAUCCUCCUCUUCUUGCUGAGGAAGACUGGCCCUGAGCUAACAUCCAUGCCCAUCUUCCUGCACUUUAUAUGUGGGACGCCUGCCACAGCAUGGCUUGACAAGUGGUGCGUAGGUCCACACCUGGGAUCUGAACCGGUGAACCCGGGCCGGUGGAGCAGAAGGUAUGGACUUAACCGCUGUGCCACCGGGCCAGCCCCAGGGAUUCUGCUUGUUGGGGACAGAGCAGGAGCUGACUGUUUCUUCCUAACUCACUUUGUGACCUUGGGCGAGUCCAGGCUGCUCUGCGGGAAGCCGGUGACGGGCCCUGGCGGCUCCCCCGACCACACGGCUAUGGUAACCCAAGGCUCUGGCUCCUGCUUCAGCGAGCCGCCGCCUGCCAUCCUCCCCUGACGCUGAGAGGUCCCCUUGCCUCACACAGCUACAGGAGAAGGGUCUCCACUCCGUGAAGCGUGGGAUAUUCCUCGGGUUUGCAUGUUUGAGAUGGUCCAGGAGGGGCACAGGUUAGGACACACAGACAUCUCGACCAAGUGUCUCCUGCCCUGAUGGCCCCCCUCGGGUGAGACGCUUAGAUCCUUUAAACACGAGUCGGACAGAACCGCUCUGAGAGAGUCAGUGAUGACGCCAGGGCAUUCCCCUCCCAGCCGCCCACCGGUGUCCUCCGAGCCUGCGCCCCACCGGGAGAAGGGGUCUGAUGUUUUAUUCUUCUACCUCCUUCUCAUGUGCAAGGCAACCUACAAUUUCUUGUGGACACAUCAACUUCUCAGUGUCUGUAUCAGGAAUUUCAAACUCUCAUUCAUCCUCCAUCACCUUGAUAAUCUCUACUUGGUUUGAACUGUCUAAAGAAAAAGAAAAAAUGUUUCUCUGUGCUGCGAAUCAAGUCUUUCUUUAGUCCUGUUUUUAUUAUUCUUCUAUCAAAAGAUUCAAGUUAAAGAGCGGGAUUCCUUGUUAAUCUCUUUAAUAAGCUUUGGCUGUUUGGAAUGCACAUAGUUGAGUUGGUCUCCCCAUGGGACCCUGGACCCUGGACCCUGAGGAUGGCCCUGCACGGGGGGUGCCUUAGCUUGUGUCUCUGCUCCGUCACUUGUCUGCAAGCUUGCUGAGGGCAGGGACUGUCUGCUUACCUCUGGUCCCAGCACCUGGCUUGGGGCCGGCACGGAGUAUGUGCUCAGUAAGUGCUGCGUUUGGGAACAGCACUUGGAUCCCAGAACAGUUAACACCCUCCCGCGAGGCCUCGGAGGGCGCAAGCGCCAAGCCCAAGCUUCCUUUCACAUCCUGCUCCUGCAGAAAUGGAGCAGCUGCUCCACUCGGGCUAUUUAAUGUCGAAAUCCCAUCUUCCCCCACGUGAGGCUGGCCUCUUCUCUACCGCCAUCAAUUCUCCAAGGCCGUCCAAGGUGCCUCGUGGAAGCAGACAUCUGCAGAUGGCUCGCGUGACCCGCGGAUGGGGGUUGAGCUUCACGCCUCACUGCCAUGCAGGCUGGUGUCUCCCGUCAGCAUCGGCGGGCCAGGCGGGGUGUCCAGGCAGACCCGUGACCGCCCGGAGGUCCUGCCUGGCAGUCCCUGGGCUGGCAACCUCCGAUGUCAGGGGUGUCACGGUGAACAGUGAUUGUUGAUGACGGGCUGGGGCACCCCACCCUUUAUUCUUGCCCCAGCCGGCUCUGAAAUUCCUGGAGACAGCACUGUCACCCCCUGUCAUCUCUGAGCCUCAGUUAACUCUUCUAGAAACUGGCGAUAACACAGUGCCCCAUGUAGUAGGCACUCGACCACCACAGCAGGAUUGACCCCACCAUGCACGGACUGAAGGCAAAGUGUGGGCUCCCGGAGGACCCACCGCGCUUUGGAGCAAAGCCCUCUCUGGUUGCUCAAGGCGGAUGCAGCCCAGGAGACUUGCAUCUGAAGCUGCCCAGCGAAUUCUGGGAGAAGAUGGUGGUGCAGUUUCCGGGAUGGAGACGUCCCAGGGCCCCGCCCUGAGUCUGAUAAGAUCAGGACCCUGAGACUCAGCGAGCAGCCUGUGAGAGGUGGGAGUAGGAUUCAGAUCCAGUCCUGCCUGUCCCUGAAGCUCCUGUGUUGGCCUCUAACCACUGUGCUGACAGAUCCCGCUGCCGGGCCUUCAGAAACAGCAGAGGAAAGGGGUCGGCAACCUUGUUCCAUGAAGUCCCGGACAGCGAUCCCCUUGGCUCUGCAGGCCGUGAGGUCUCUGUCACGACUGCUCAGCUCUGCCGUCACGGUGCAAAUGCGGCCCCAGACAACGUAGACACAAACGGGCGUGGCUGUGUUCCAAUAAAACUUUACUCACAAACACCGGUGGUGGGCCAGGUUUGGGCUGUGGGCCUUAGGUUUUGGACUCCUGUUGCGCGUUGCUGAAUCAGAGAUGUCAAGGUUACGAGGCAUCUUAGUUUCAGAAAAAUUGUAAUGUGACAAACGGUGCAUCUUAGAGACGAGGAGAUUUGAUAUUUCCUGAGUGAAGGAAUGAAUGAGUGAAUGAAUGGUUCAGGCAUGUGCCCCUGAGUGUUCGGCAGGGGAGACGAAUUCCCAGCAGUGAGUUCCGUGUGUGUCCUACAGACGCCUUCACUCUUCCUUAGGGGACGGCCCCU
rnacentral:lncRNA from 1 species